rnacentral:rRNA from 1 species
GAUGAACGCUGGCGGCGUGCCUAAUACAUGCAAGUCGAGCGAACGGACGAGAAGCUUGCUUCUCUGAUGUUAGCGGCGGACGGGUGAGUAACACGUGGAUAACCUACCUAUAAGACUGGGAUAACUUCGGGAAACCGUAGCUAAUACCGGAUAAUAUUUUGAACCGCAUGGUUCAAAAGUGAAAGACGGUCUUGCUGUCACUUAUAGAUGGAUCCGCGCUGCAUUAGCUAGUUGGUAAGGUAACGGCUUACCAAGGCAACGAUGCAUAGCCGACCUGAGAGGGUGAUCGGCCACACUGGAACUGGGACACGGUCCAGACUCCUACGGGAGGCAGCAGUAGGGAAUCUUACGCAGUGGGCGAAAGCCUGACGGAGCAGCGCCGCGUGAGUGAUGAAGGUCUUCGGAUCGUAAAACUCUGUUAUGAGGGAAGAACAUAUGUGUAAGUAACUGUGCACAUCUUGACGGUACCUAAUCAGAAAGCCACGGCUAACUACGUG